ACCUGCGGGGUGCCCCCAGGCCCUGGCUUCCUGGCGCGGGGUGUGGCCGCGAUCCCGCCUCCCGGGGGUCUCCUAGACGCCCGCCCCUCCCCUGCCGUGCGGGGUCCCCCGGCGCCCCGAACUUCUAACGAGCACCGGGAGGUGGAAGCACUGUUUGGCCGCGGAACUGUCGUUAUUGUAAGAACAAACGCUCAGUACAAAAGGGAGACGCAGAAUUUACGAGACGGCCCCUCGGAGCCCGGCGGGCGACAUCUGGCUGCGGCGUUCUGCAAGAGCGGUUCCUUUAUCUGGAAACAAAGGCGUCCCCGGACCCGCGAGGCCGCAAAGACCCGGGCCCCUGUCGGCCCCUCCGGGCGGGCGCGGGCCCGAAGGGUUCUUGGCGGCGGAUCGCGUGUCCCCCGGUUGCAGGCGGGACGGAGCCCCCUCCCCUCCCCCUUCUAGCUCCUUCUCCGCCCUUGACCCUCCUCCUCCUCCUCCCUUUCCUUCCUCUUCCUCCUCCCCUCUCCCUUUCCUUCCCUUCCCCCCUCCUCCUCACAACCCUCACCUCCCCCAGCCCCCCGGCAGCCAAGCGACAAGAUUAAGCGAUAAGGCUCGAGGAAAAUUUUCCCAGCUUCACACCGCACCUGGAGAAGGACGCCGACGUCAGGGGAGCCAAAGUCCUCCAGGCAUCCACGGCCCCGCCCCAUCUGGCCUCUGCUCCCUGCGCCACGAUUUCAUGGCCCCGGACACUCUGGCCUCGCAGUUCCUGGGAUUCACCCAGGGGUGCUGUCACCCCAGGGCCUUUGCACCGGCCAUCCCUCUGCGGACUGCUCCUCCCCCUUCCCGCUGGCCGCCCCCAUUUCCUCCUUUAAAUCUUUGCGCACCGUUGUGGGCCUCCUCCAGCUCCCUGUUUAAACACGUGAUCCCGCCGGCCCCUCCCAGGCCGGGCCCCAGCCCCGGGUUCCUUCCCCCAGCCCUAACGCGCUGCUGUUUCCUUGUUUUUCACGGUCUGUUUCCCUCGACUAGGGGUGUGAGUUCUCUCCGCCGCUUCCCAGCUGUGGCCUGCCUGGCUCCCAGGAGGCCCUCCCUAAGUAUCUGUUGACAAUAAAGUAAUGACUAUAAAUCCAUAAA